UACGUAGGGUCCAAGCGUUAAUCGGAAUUACUGGGCGUAAAGCGUGCGCAGGCGGUUGCGCAAGACCGAUGUGAAAUCCCGGGCUAACCUGGGAGUUGCAUUGGUGACUGCACGGCUAGAGUGUGUCAGAGGGGGGUAGAAUUCCACGUGUAGCAGUGAAAUGCGUAGAGAUGUGGAGGAAUACCGAUGGCGAAGGCAGCCCCCGG
rnacentral:rRNA from 1 species